UGCUGCUGCCCGCGGAGCGCAUCCCGCUCCUCCGGCUCCUCCGGCGGCACCGCUCCUCCCCGCCAGCCUGCAUCCACCCGCCAGCACAACAAAAAUGUGCCGUUUCACUGUCCCUAUAAUGCACAGAGGAAAUAGGAUUAGGUCCAAAUAGCGGCAAGUCUGGAUAUGUCACAUGGAAAUUGCAACUGCCAAAACAAUCUACCAGGAGCACAUCAAUAAAAAUAACUUCCACAUACUUCCCCAGCGAGCCAAGGAAAUGACACUCAGUGGCUGUCGAUGCUGAGGAUCUCCCAAAUCCCCCAAAAAGCUGCAAUUACCGACGGCCCCGGCAAAUGCCCAGCCCCGCUGCGGCAGGACCCGCUCGAUGCAGCCUGCACUCGUUAAAUUGAAUUUUUCCGAGAAAUGAUGCUCGGUUGGCAAAUUGACGGUGGAAAUUGAAAGCUUGGAGGGGAGUGACACACUGCAAUGCCAUGCUAGCUUGGCCUGGG